rnacentral:lncRNA from 1 species
AUGCACAUCUUCAUAGUAUGCUGGGCCAGGAGGAAAUCCAUUACAUUCCCAGAUUCUUGUCUGGUUUGGAAUGUGGAGCUCACUGUUAAUCUCAUUUUAAAAAUCUAAAUCUGGAUUCAGAAUGAACAGAAUUGGGGAAUUCUCUUCCUCUGUGCACCAGCAGAUGCAGUCAUUUUCAAGUUAAUUUAGCUUGGUUGUGCAGUCCUUACACAGCACCAGAUGGGAUUGCUAAAUGCUGAGUGAAGGCUCUAUAUGACCUCGUAUUUGAAAGUAUACAGCUAUUUUGCACUUGUACCAUGUUGAAAACAUUAACUGGGCCUUCCCAAACCUCUAAUGGAUAGGGAAGUAAUACACAAUAUUUGGUGCAUCUAGCAUUCUUCCAGCAUUGUGCAGCAAUGGAGAUUGACCAGAAGCCUAUACUAAGGAUGGACAUAGACAGUGAAGCCUUUGAGGACGAUAUUGGAGAGGAGAAUUUUGUUCUUCUUUUUGAGCUAGUUUGGUGCAUGUCUGGAGUAACUCCAUAAGAGGAAAGGAUUGUUGUGGGAGAUAUCUUUUGUUGGACGAACUGCAUGGUUGGGAUAGACUUAGGCAGGCGUUCAUAUGCAAAGCAUUCUUCAUCAGGUCUGGGGUGAACUCCAGUUAUUUCAAUGCCCAUAGCAGCGUAACAGAGAGAAACUGGACUGCAUGUCUUUUUGUAUUUUGUCAAAGGUCACACCUUUUACAUAUUUACUCAAUAUAAAGCAAACUGUCAGGGCCAACCAGUAUGCAAAACUAAAAGGAAAAUGGAAGCAUAUGUAAUCUUUGUGGUUUAAAACUGGACUGUAAAGUGCAGCGAAUUUGUGGUGAAAGACAAGUCAACCAAACAGAAUGGAACUCUGUAAACCCUUGAACGAACUCUGUUACAGUUUGUUUUUUUGAUUCGUCAAAUAUUACUAUUUUUCACUAUUUA